GAUGAACGCUGGCGGCGUGCCUAAUACAUGCAAGUCGAGCGAACAGAUAAUGAGCUUGCUCCUUUGAAGUUAGCGGCGGACGUGUGAGUAACACGUGGGUAACCUACCUAUAAGACUGGGAUAACUUCGGGAAACCGGAUCUAAUACCGGAUAACAUUUAGAACCGCAUGGUUCUAAAGUGAAAUAUGGUUUUGCUAUCACUUAUAGAUGGACCCGCGCCGUAUUAGCUAGUUGGUAAGGUAACGGCUUACCAAGGCGACGAUACGUAGCCGACCUGAGAGGGUGAUCGGCCACACUGGAAGUGAGACACGGUCCAGACUACUAAGGGAGGCAGCAGUAGGGAAUGUUCCGCAAUGGGCGAAAGCCUGACGGAGCAAGGCCGCGUGAGUGAUGAAGGGUUUCGGCUCGUAAAAAUCUGUUAUUAGGGAAGAACAACUGUGUACGUAACUGUGCACAUAUUGACGGUACCUAAUCAGAAAGCCACGGCUAACUACGUG
rnacentral:rRNA from 1 species